ACUUAACUAAUCAAAUUAAUUCAGAUUUGAUCACAUUAAUCUUAUGCUAAUCCAUAUUUUAUUAACAGUAAUGUUCAGAUUAAACAAAAAUUGAAAGAGGAAUUAGGGUAUUACACUUGUGGCUUCAGCUUGGCAUCGCUCUCGACCUCUCUCACUCUCCUUCAACAACGGCGACAGCGGCGUUCCUCCCUUCUCCGGCGAGUCGCGACACACCCCUCUCUUGUUUCCACCUCACUCGUACGAAGACGGCAACCGGAAAUUGACUCCUCUCCUCCAAUCCGAAGUUCACCGCGCCGCCACACCACCGCUGUCACUACCUCGUCUCACUCUCGUUCUCUCUUCCACUCGAUUCAUGUUCUCACAUCACUCAUCUCUCUUUCAAAUUCAUCUCCGAUUGUAGAUCGUUGUUUUCGCAAUCACCGAAUCGGAUCCACAAACACGCACGCUCAUCAUUCAACGACGGAGAGUUGCGAAGAUGAACAUGAACGUUGUUGAGGAUCGCAGUUGAAGAAUAGUCGACGAUGAAUGAUUGCACUGGUGAUUAAAGUGUGGAUUUAUGAAAUCGGAGAUGAUGUGAAGUUGAAGGUUGAAUUCAAUUCAGAUGUUUGAAGGUGAUGAAUCGGUGAAGGUCCAAGGUUGAUGAUGAGGACGAGUUGCUUUGCUGACUGAUGAUGAAUUCAGUGAAGUUGAUUGAAACGGCGUGAAGAAUUAACGUUGAAGAUCCUUGAAGGUUGAAGGUUAUGGUGGUUGCGAUCUCUGUUAGAUAUUUUUGUUACUUUUUUGUGAAUCUUCUUCUUCUGUGAGUUUUCUGUUAGAUUUUUCUGAUGACUGAUUGCAGAAUCAAUUGAAGAUCUUGUUGAUUGUGGAUUCUCUGCAGAGAGGUUGAAGAUUGGUGAUAAGAUUGGAGAGGAUCUGUGAUGGCGGAUGGUUGAAGGUGAUUGAAGAUUGAUGGAAGAAGCUUGAAGAAGAUGAAGAUUGGAGAGAGUUUGUUACCGAUUCGGGUAGAGGUACGGUUUUUUUUAGAAUCUGUAGAAUUCAAAUUUGCAACUGGUUUGUCAACCAAUAUGGGCUGGGCUUUCAAUUUCUAACGGUUUCUAUCAAGUCGCAGAGCGCAGCUUCGGGUUUUAUUUUGCACUAUGUCGCCUGAAUUUUGGUUGUUGGCUUCUCUUAUAAUCGAGGAGAGUCCUUUACCUUUUGCAACAUGGGCUACUGGUGCCAAAUUUGUAAUGGUGACAAUUUGAAUGUAUUUAAAUGGACUUUCCCUUCCAAGUAUUUUUUGUAACUUCCAUACUUUUUCUAUUUUGUGAAUGAACCUUGCGUAUACAUGUUACAAUGA